GAGGGUAUAGCUCAAGUGGUAGGUAAAGCGCAUGCUUAGCAUGCGUGAGGUCCUGGGUUCAAUCCCCAGUCCCUCG
rnacentral:tRNA from 1 species